rnacentral:rRNA from 1 species
AUUGAACGCUGGCGGCAGGCCUAACACAUGCAAGUCGAACGAAGUCUUCGGACUUAGUGGCGGACGGGUGAGUAACACGUGGGAACGUACCUUUUGGUUCGGAACAACUCAGGGAAACUUGAGCUAAUACCGGAUGAGCCCUUAGGGGGAAAGAUUUAUCGCCGAAAGAGCGGCCCGCGUUAGAUUAGCUAGUUGGUGAGGUAAAGGCUCACCAAGGCUACGAUCUAUAGCUGGUCUGAGAGGAUGAUCAGCCACACUGGGACUGAGACACGGCCCAGACUCCUACGGGAGGCAGCAGUGGGGAAUCUUGCGCAAUGGGCGAAAGCCUGACGCAGCCAUGCCGCGUGAAUGAUGAAGGUCUUAGGAUUGUAAAAUUCUUCUACCAGGGACGAUAAUGACGGUACCUGGAGAAAAAGCCCCGGCUAACUUCGUGCCAGCAGCCGCCGUAACAC